GCUUACGGCCACACCGCUGGUUCACGCCCGAUCUCGUUUGAUCUCGGAAGCUAAGAUAGGUUGGGCCUGGUUAGUACUUGGAUGGGAGACCGCCUGGGAAUGCCAGGUGCUGUAAGCU
rnacentral:rRNA from 1 species